UGAAGAAUAUUGGGCAAUGGGGGAAACCCUGACCCAGCAACGCCGCGUGAAGGAAGAAGGUUUUCGGAUUGUAAACUUCUGUCCCAUGGGACGAAACAAAUGACGGUACCAUGGGAGGAAGCCCCGGCUAACUACGUGCCAGCAGCCGCGGUAAUACGUAGGGGGCAAGCGUUGUCCGGAAUUAUUGGGCGUAAAGGGUGCGUAGGCGGCCUUUCAAGUUGGAUGUGAAAUCCCCGUGCUUAACAUGGGAAUUGCAUUCAAAACUGGAGGGCUUGAGUGUGGAAGAGGUAAGUGGAAUUCCCAGUGUAGCGGUGAAAUGCGUAGAUAUUGGGAGGAACACCAGUGGCGAAGGCGACUUACUGGGCCACAACUGACGCUGAUGCACGAAAGCGUGGGGAGCAAACAG
rnacentral:rRNA from 1 species